CCUACGGGAGGCAGCAGCAGGGAAUAUUGCACAAUGGGCGAAAGCCUGAUGCAGCGACGCCGCGUGAGGGAUGAAGGCCUUCGGGUUGUAAACCUCUUUCAGGAGGGAAGAAGCGAAAGUGACGGUACCUCCACAAGAAGCCCCGGCCAACUACGUGCCAGCAGCCGCGGUAAUACGUAGGGGGCAAGCGUUGUCCGGAUUCAUUGGGCGUAAAGAGCUCGUAGGCGGCUCAGCAAGUCGGUCGUGAAAGCCCGGGGCUCAACCCCGGGACGCCGAUCGAAACUGCUGUGGCUAGGGUCCGGUAGAGGAGAGUGGAAUUCCCGGUGUAGCGGUGAAAUGCGCAGAUAUCGGGAGGAACACCAGUAGCGAAGGCGGCUCUCUGGGCCGGCACCGACGCUGAGGAGCGAAAGCUAGGGGAGCAAACAGGAUUAGAUACCCUGGUAGUCCUAGCCGUAAACGUUGGGCACUAGGUGUGGCGGACUCAUUGACGUCUGCCGUGCCGCAGCUAACGCAUUAAGUGCCCCGCCUGGGGAGUACGACCGCAAGGUUGAAACUCAAAUGAAUGACGG
rnacentral:rRNA from 1 species